rnacentral:rRNA from 1 species
GAUGAACGCUGGCGGCGUGCCUAAUACAUGCAAGUCGAGCGAACAGACGAGGAGCUUGCUCCUCUGACGUUAGCGGCGGACGGGUGAGUAACACGUGGAUAACCUACCUAUAAGACUGGGAUAACUUCGGGAAACCGGAGCUAAUACCGGAUAAUAUAUUGAACCGCAUGGUUCAAUAGUGAAAGACGGUUUUGCUGUCACUUAUAGAUGGAUCCGCGCCGCAUUAGCUAGUUGGUAAGGUAACGGCUUACCAAGGCAGCGAUGCGUAGCCGACCUGAGAGGGUGAUCGGCCACACUGGAACUGAGACACGGUCCAGACUCCUACGGGAGACAGCAGUAGGGAAUCUUCCGCAAAGGGCGAAAGCCUGACGGAGCAACGCCGCGUGAGUGAUGAAGGUCUUCGGAUCGUAAAACUCUGUUAUUAGGGAAGAACAAAUGUGUAAGUAACUAUGCACGUCUUGACGGUACCUAAUCAGAAAGCCACGGCUAACUACGUG